rnacentral:rRNA from 1 species
AGUAGUCACGGUAGUUUGAUCAUGGCUCAAGAACGAACGCUGGCGGCAUGCCUAACACAUGCAAGUCGAACGAGAUCUUCGGAUCUAGUGGCGCACGGGUGCGUAACGCGUGGGAAUCUGCCCUUUGCUUCGGAAUAACAGUUAGAAAUGACUGCUAACACCGGAUGAUGUCUUCGGACCAAAGAUUUAUCGGCAAAGGAUGAGCCCGCGUAGGAUUAGGUAGUUGGUGGGGUAAAGGCCUACCAAGCCGACGAUCCUUAGCUGGUCUGAGAGGAUGAUCAGCCACACUGGGACUGAGACACGGCCCAGACUCCUACGGGAGGCAGCAGUGGGGAAUAUUGGACAAUGGGCGAAAGCCUGAUCCAGCAAUGCCGCGUGAGUGAUGAAGGCCUUCGGGUUGUAAAGCUCUUUUACUCGGGACGAUAAUGACGGUACCGAGAGAAUAAGCCCCGGCUAACUCCGUG